AAACAUGGGACCAACACUUUACAUGUUGUGUUUGUAUUUUUAUUCAGUAUAGAUGACUGGACUACAGAGUGGGAGACAAAUCUCUACACUCUUGAUGACUCUAUUCAUAUCAAGGCGUCUGUAACUGGCCAAGCCACCAAUGAGUUGCCAUGCCAACUGCAAACAAUCCCAUUCAAUACCCCUUCAUUUCUGGCCACGGGUAAAGUCAUAGGAAGCACCCACGUACAUCUUUUCCAUCAAUCUCAAUUUCUUCCUCUUUCCUUGCCAUGAUUUAAUUUAUUUUUCUUUGUGAUGUGGACUGGUUUCUCUCCAGUUGCUUUGUAGAUGGCAAAAUGCAUGUCUCUCUGUCUGACUUCAGCUUCACUAGAGAGGACAGCAGAACUGCAAAUUCUUCUGGAUGCCUUCCGCUUUCAAACAUGGACAUAUCAAAAGUUUAUAUUAGCUGUACCUUGAGAGCAGCUUUUGCAUCUAGCCCUAUAACUGCUGUCAACAAAGCCUACACAUAUAACUCGUCUAUAUCCAGAUACCAGAAGCCUCAUGCUGGGACCUGCAAUCAUAAGAGCCACAGUUCAAGGCUCUGAGACCGUAGACAGACGCACAAUGGAGCAGUGUAAGUACAGUGCACCGAGGGGCUUUUCUGUCCAUGUGUUCAAAGUCAGGUUUAUAUAAUGGCUUGGUUUUUCCCAGUAAGCAUGGUUGUGAACGUAUCUAUUGAGUUUCUCCAGUGAUUUGGCUAUUUUGUUAGACUGGUUUAACAUGCUUUAGUCUUUCAUUACACCUGUCAUAGCGGACAUAUUAAUUGACCCAUCAUGCAUUCCUUUAUUGCAAUGGUUUAUAACGGCAACAUGUUUGUCAUUUCUGCAAGAAUCUGUGAAAGUGGUGUUUAAUAAAUCAAAGGCAGCAGUCUGGCAUGGUUGAUCUCAUCUCUCAUGGCUAUUGUGGCCACAGCAUUACUGUGCAGCUUGCUGCUUUUGAGCAACAGAAAGAGCCUUCUAAACUGCACAGAAGUAAAAAGUAUUAUUUUAACAAGUCCCUGCACCCAAAACUUUCGUAAUGUGUUUAUCUUGAGAAAACAAACCAUCAUUAUUAAGAAAUGUGCAUACUACUUUAAUAUUUACACAAAUGUGUCUCAAAGGAGAAAAGGCAGUUUAUCAUAAUGACUUAAUUGAAUUAAAGUUUUUUAAUCCACCAAAAAACACUAAUUCACGGUGUUAAAUAACACUAUGUGAGAACAAUAUUUUUUUGUGAACAAACGUUUAAUUUUGACGUUAUAUAGUUGGUAGCAACAAAGUCGACUACGAAAUCCACAAUGCAACGCUCUAUGGGCUAGCUAGCAAACGUAGCUACGCAAAAUAAUACCAAAGACAAUAUCAGCAUGUAACGUAGCUCUAGUUAACUGUAAAAUCGUCUAAAAACUACACUAUCAAUUUAAGAGUCUAAGAUCUCACCAUGUUCAACCUGCAGAUCGAUGUGCCUCACAGAAUGGAGUAUAACAUUCGCAACGGCAGAUAUACUUUUGAGAUGGGGAAACGCGGACCAAGCUACACAUUCUGGGCAAUUCUGUGACAAGACGCGCUCUCAUUGAAGGAGUGAAUGGGAGUCUAUUGGGCACUAGCUAAAAAAAAAUCUUAUAUAAAUUCGUGCUAAUGUAUAUUUGGCAACAGCACCAUGCAAUGCACCCUGGACUAGAGGCAAAUAGGAACAAUAUGCUAGACCAUUCGUCAAAUUACAAAUUUCUCGAGGUAGAAAUAUCGCAAAAAUGAGCCAUCACUCAUUCGAAAGAAGACAUCCUCCCGAGUUGACGUCGGCCAGUAUUACAGUCUGACAUGUAUGAGCGACAUUUUCGCGAUCUAAAAGUUGGAUUCUUAUUAAUUUCCAGUGUAGUGAGGGACUUUACCACAGUGCUACGUAAUACCGGCCACGUCUGCCUGCUUGAACGCCAAUAACUCGGAUACACAUGAAAAGACCCAGGGAAUCGAUAGAACACCACUCAGAUGCACCCCCAAAAAAUAUAACAUUCAAAAUGGGCGAACCUUUCCUUUAAAUCACACAUUUGGGGCCAGGAAAUGAACAUGAGCUGGUUUCCCAGACCCACAUUGAGCCUACUUGAAAAUAAAUACAGUAACGUUAGAUUUAACAGGAAUGUCCGCAUUACCAGACCCAGAUUAUUUUCCUUUGAGCCGCAAUCAUUCCGCACACAUUUUGGAAUGGUCAGAGA